rnacentral:tRNA from 1 species
UGUAGCUCAGUGAUAAAGCACUUGCCUAACAUGCAUGAGGCCCUGGGUUCAAUCCCCAGUA